ensembl:misc_RNA Y_RNA Y RNA
GUUUGGUCCAAGUGCCGAGGUGUUUACAACUAAUUGAUCAUAAUCAUUUACAGAUUUCUUUGUUCCUUCUCCACUCCCACUGCUUCACUUGUCUAGCUUUGA